CACGACUCUUUAUCUUCUUACCC
rnacentral:siRNA from 1 species